rnacentral:rRNA from 1 species
UACGAAGGGGGCUAGCGUUGCUCGGAAUCACUGGGCGUAAAGCGCACGUAGGUGGGUCGUUAAGUCAGACGUGAAAUCCCUCAGCUUAACUGGGGAACUGCGUCUGAUACUGGCGAGCUUGAGUGCAGGAGAGGAACGCGGAAUUCCAGGUGUAGCGGUGAAAUGCGUAGAUAUCUGGAGGAACACCGGUGGCGAAGGCGGCGUUCUGGACUGCAACUGACACUGAUGAACGAAAGCCAGGGGAGCAAACGGG